rnacentral:lncRNA from 1 species
CAAACAACAGCCGUAUCUCUCUACUUUCUUUCUUUAUCUCCCCCUCUGUCUAAAGGAACCGCCGCCUCUCCCUCAACCUCCACGCCUCUGCCGUCGACAAGGCCACCACCGACAGCCCAUGCUGGAUGAGACCAGCCGACCGUCGCCACCAUCUCCAUCAUCGCCGUCGUUAGCCACCUCCAGUGCCGCCAGCCGCCGCUACAAGCAGCCAUGCAGCCGGCGAUCCGACCUCUACACUUCCUCCUCCACGCCGUUCCCCAUCGCCACCAUAGCCAUCAACCAUUCACCACUCCACCAGUUGGCAGGACCCCCACCGCCAUGAAUUUACAGCCAGCCGCCGCCGCAAGCAGCCAUGCAGUCGGCAAUCCAACCAACAAAGCCACCGCCACCACCUUAUUUCUCUUCUCUCUCCUCUAGUCUAUUGACCCCUUUUCUACUGCAACGCCGUUGGAGUUGAUAACCGGUGAGGUUUUCAAUGAAAUACCAUUCCCGUUAUUGUUUAGUUUGGCAUGAGUUUCAAAUCGGUGGCUUUGCCUCCGAUUACCCCAAAAUAGGUUCUUAAUUUUAAAAUUCGUGAUGUUUGGUGUGUGAUUUUGACUUGAUUGUUUUAAUUUCAUAUUUAUCUACACCUGUUCAUUAACAUAUACGAAAAGCCCCAAAUUUGCAUGACUUUUGGUUAAACUCUAAUUUUGAUUUGAAUGUUGAUCUUGUAAAUAUUAAAAUUGUGAUUCUCUUGUCUUGUCGUUGUUAUGAAUUUACCCCUAAGGUAGUACCAAGUUGAGUUGUAAUUGUUAUUUUUGUACACUAUUUUAUUUUAACGUUCAACUCAUGUGCAUUUGAAAUUAACAGCUUUGUGAUAGAUUAUUUUUGACAAGCUUGAAUUUUGAUCUUAAUGUGUUAUGUGAUUAUAUUUGGUUACUUUUGAUCUGACUUCGUGCAUGAUUUUAAUUGUUCUCGUGAGUGUGAUUUGUGUGUUUGAUAUCUCUUGGAAUUUUUUACAUGUUAGUGGAGUAUGAACUGAUUUUGGGCGUAAUUGCAAUCACCCAAGGGAUAUUUUACAGUCCUUCUGUUUUGACAAAUUAUAUGAUUGAUUCCGUUAAUUUUGCUAUUGAUGAACACUAAGUGCUGUCCAUAUUCUAUGUUAUUUACUUGGUUUGCUGCAGAUAUUUACUUGUUUAUUUAUGGUAAUUCCGGGUGAUUUGCCUUGACUAUUUUUCUACCUAUUUUUACUGAUUGCCUUUCUUUCCUCUAACUUAGACAACUUUUUAUCAUUUUUAUUUUUGGUAGGACUAACGUAAUUUGUGAUUCUAUUAAUUCAAAUUAGUGCAUUAAGGAAAAUAUUCUGACUGAUAGUUAAAAUAUUCUCCUUCCUUUAUUUUCAUAACCCCUCAGCCUAUACAAACGAUCCCUCUUUUCACUUAACAGACAACUCUUCCUGAUUACUACUCUCUACAACAAAAACUACUAGCUACUUUAAUACCAAGGAUAAAAUAUUUCUCAAGCUCUUUGGUGUUUCUUUUCGGGUUUAAGGGAGCAUCCUGCAUAUCUCACUGUUACGGGUGCUUUGCUUCAACAUCCUUACUAUUUUCUUAUUGCUGUUUACUGGAAGCAUCCUGCAUAUCUCACUGUGGGGAGUGCUGUGCUUCAACAACCUUCUUAUUAUUUUAUUUUUUAUUUGUUGCUUAUCGGUAAAAGUUCUCAAAUCGAUGUAAUUUUAAUUCUUUGUGUGUGCUGACUGUGAAAGCCAUUAGAAAACAUAUCAAUAGGGAUAUUUGUUGCUAUGUUCCUGUUUGUUUCGCUGUUACAUUAUGUCUCACAGGUAUAAAUAGACGAUUUAGAAUUGAAGAGUCGCCCGGGGUUGAUAGGGAUUAUAUUGUGCCCUAAAGUUUAGUUGAUUCUUCCUUUUUAUGUAAUAUUGUAUAAAUGCUAUUGAUGUAAUAAUAAUUAUGGGGACUGCUUGAGGUGUGGGGCUUAUGUUCUCUAUGAAUCGUAGGCAAACUUUAACAUUAGGAUUAACAGCCAAUUAAUUUGGACACGUAGAAAGGUUGUUUUAAGAGUAUUAUUAAAACAGAUUUAAGCAUGUUGUUGGUCUAGUCGAUAGCUUGAGAAUUAAUGACUAAAGUUUGUGUUAAUUCUGUAGCAUGUGUUUUUCAGUAUAUUAAUAUUACUUUUCAGCAAUCUAAAAUUAUUUUUCAGCAUGUAAAUGUUAAAUUCCAGCAUAUUGAUAUAUUUUCCAGCACAUAAAUGUUGAUUUUAGUAUAUUAGUGUCGUUUUUCAGCGUUAGUGUAUUUUAAGCGUGUUCAGCUUAAAUUUCAACAUGUUAAUACAUUUUUUCAGCAUGUUAACAUUAUAUUUAAGCAUGAAUGUUAAUGUAAUUUUCAGCAUGAAUAAUAAUUUCUAGCACUUUAAUUGAAUUUUCAACAUGUUAGGUUUAAUUUCCAGAAUAUUAAGAAGUAGCUUUCAGUAUGUUAAAACAAGUGUUCAACAUGUUUACAAACUUUCCGUGAUAUUAUCAGUUCUAAAAAAUGUAAUCUCCAUUAUGUUAACUAGUUUCCGCGUUGUGGUAUAGUUUACUAGCACUUUUAAUUAAUUUUCAACACUUCCAUUUUUCACAAUGUGUUUUGCAUAACAAAAUUUAUGGGUAUCACCUUAUUUAACCAGUAACCAUAAGGUAUACUAUGUUUUCCAUUUUUUCAAAGAACCACUUUGUGUAUGUGUUCUAUCAUCAAUGCAGGUAGACUAAUGAAUUCAAAAUAGCUAAGGCAUUCCAUGACAUACAAGUCAGCUGCUGAAUCAGUGUUUCUUUUUUGUGAUUUAGGCAGAAUCACCUUGUUAACGAAGUCAAAGACCAAUUGAAUUUUUCUCUUGAGUAAUUUUGUAUUCACUGCAGCUACAUAUUGCCCUUUGACCUUUAAUGUAUAUACUAAAAACUCUAUUGAGGGUUGCUUCUUUGAGACAGUCCUCACACCAUAAAUAGUAACUUCUAGAAUUCUUUCCAAUGUUUCUUCAUUCAACUUUAUUUUCUUUCCUUAGACCUGUGUAAUCAGAAUCA